rnacentral:rRNA from 1 species
CCCAGUAAACGGCGGCCGUAACUAUAACGGUCCUAAGGUAGCGAAAUUCCUUGUCGGGUAAGUUCCGACCCGCACGAAAGGCGUAACGAUUUGGGCACUGUCUCAACGAGAGACUCGGUGAAAUCAUAGUACCUGUGAAGAUGCAGGUUACCCGCGACAGGACGGAAAGACCCCGUGGAGCUUUACUGUAGCCUGAUAUUGAAAUUCGGCACAGCUUGUACAGGAUAGGUAGGAGCCUUUGAAACGUGAGCGCUAGCUUACGUGGAGGCGCUGGUGGGAUACUACCCUAGCUGUGUUGGCUUUCUAACCCGCACCACUUAUCGUGGUGGGAGACAGUGUCAGGCGGGCAGUUUGACUGGGGCGGUCGCCUCCUAAAAGGUAACGGAGGCGCUCAAAGGUUCCCUCAGAAUGGUUGGAAAUCAUUCAUAGAGUGUAAAGGCAUAAGGGAGCUUGACUGCGAGACCUACAAGUCGAGCAGGGUCGAAAGACGGACUUAGUGAUCCGGUGGUUCCGCAUGGAAGGGCCAUCGCUCAACGGAUAAAAGCUACCCCGGGGAUAACAGGCUUAUCUCCCCCAAGAGUUCACAUCGACGGGGAGGUUUGGCACCUCGAUGUCGGCUCAUCGCAUCCUGGGGCUGUAGUCGGUCCCAAGGGUUGGGCUGUUCGCCCAUUAAAGCGGUACGCGAGCUGGGUUCAGAACGUCGUGAGACAGUUCGGUCCCUAUCCGUCGUGGGCGUAGGAAAUUUGAGAGGAGCUGUCCUUAGUACGAGAGGACCGGGAUGGACAUACCUCUGGUGUACCAGUUGUCGUGCCAACGGCAUAGCUGGGUAGCUAUGUGUGGACGGGAUAAGUGCUGAAAGCAUCUAAGCAUGAAGCCCCCCUCAAGAUGAGAUUUCCCAACUUCGGUUAUA